CAAGUACUCCCUCCGUUCGGAAUUACUCGUCCUAGAAAUGAAUGUAUCUAAAUGUAUUUUAAUUGUAGAUACAUCCAUUUUUAUCCACUUUUGUGACAAGUAAUUCCGAAAGGACUCAAGUACAAU
rnacentral:pre_miRNA from 1 species